rnacentral:rRNA from 1 species
GACGAACGCUGGCGGCGUGCUUAACACAUGCAAGUCGAACGAUGAAGCCGGAGCUUGCUCUGGUGAAUUAGUGGCGAACGGGUGAGUAACACGUGAGUAACCUGCCCUUGACUCUGGGAUAACUGCGGGAAACUGUAGCUAAUACCGGAUACGACCCUCGGAGGCAUCUCCUGGGGGUGGAAAGAAUUUCGGUCAAGGAUGGACUCGCGGCCUAUCAGCUAGUUGGUGAGGUAAAGGCUGACCAAGGCGACGACGGGUAGCCGGCCUGAGAGGGUGACCGGCCACGCUGGGACUGAGACACGGCCCAGACUCCUACGGGAGGCAGCAGUGGGGAAUAUUGCACAAUGGGCGCAAGCCUGAUGCAGCAACGCCGCGUGAGGGAUGACGGCCUUCGGGUUGUAAACCUCUUUUAGCAGGGAAGAAGCGAAAGUGACGGUACCUGCAGAAAAAGCACCGGCUAACUACGUGCCAGCCGCCGCAGUAA